UCGGUCCGGGUCCCCGUUCCCGGUGCAGCCCGGUCCGCUCCCACCCCCCGGCUCGGCGGCCCAGGGGCCGGUCCCACUCGCGUCUGGCGGCGCGGGGUCGGGCCCGUUCCCACGGGCCGGGGCGCGCGCUUUGCGCAGCCCCAGUGGCCUAAUGGAUAAGGCACUGGCCUCCUAAGCCAGGGAUUGUGGGUUCGAGUCCCAUCUGGGGUGAGCCUCCCCAAGUUUUGGUGAUGCCAGCCCCGUUUUCCCGCUCUUUCUCCUCUAUUUUACUGCCACCCCGACCGCGCAGCGCUGCCGGGCCGCCGCCUCCUCCUGCUGCCUGGCGGGCACCAGCUUUGGCUGCUUGGUGGGAAGACAUUCCCCAACAUCAGUCGCAGAUGUCAAUUUAGGAGGUUGACGCACCUGGAGAACCCAGAAGUGGGAAUAAACAGGCGCUGACCAUAACAUCUUGGACCGAUGCGGUUCUCUGCUCCCGGCCAGCCGUCACGGUUUAGUUCUCAUGAAAUCGGGAAGCAAAGAGGAGCAGCUACAAACUGCCCCAGGCUUCGGUGCAAAGGCGGAUGCUGAAUCCGGCCGGUCGUGUGUCCCCCAUUCCCAGUGCUCAGGUGUCAUGCAGACCUCUUCUCGGAGCAGGCCAGGCUGUAACGGGAAGAAAGCUUUAUUCCUCUGCCAGAAACCGCAUCUCCGCGAGGGGCUGGUCGCUGGGGUCGCGCAGUUUGGCUGUGCUGCCCUGGGGCCAGAGUCCUCCACGUAAGUGCCUUCGGGAUGGUGCCCUCUCAGGUUUAGUUGCAUUAAAAAGCUGCUUGGAGGGUCUUUUUGCUACGGAGUUAAUGGCUUUUAAAAGGCAGCUGCGGUCAGGGUGAUAUCACGCUAGUAAAACCUAAAGUGAAGUUUCUUUCUAAGUAAUUUUUCUCUGUUAGAUGCGGGAGGAAAUGACUCUGCUGCCUGGAAAACAGCAAACCUGCCGAAGCCCUGGGUGCUGGACUGCUGGCAGCCCCCGGCAGCCGAGCUGCAGGUCCCUGCGCCGCUCAGCAAACCCUGCCAGCGCUGGGGGCCGGGGAAGGGGCUCGAGGGGUGCCCCCAGGCUGGUAGUACCUGGGACCAGCUGACUUCCACCUCGUUGGGUGACCGGCUUCAGGGCUGUGGUUGAAAGCGUGGCCAGAGCACAUUUUUUGCAUCCCUCUCACAAGUUUGGAGAGCUUUUGGGUGGCUUUUGGGGGUGUUUGAUCACUUGGCUUCUUUUGGGUGGCGUUUUCUUUGCAUCUUCUGGAGAUGCUGUACCCGCAGCCCCGCUGGGAUGCCCGGCUGGGAUGCCCUCCUGGCAGCAUGGUGACGGGCCUGGGUUGGUUCCCUGCCUGGUGAGAGGGACUUCCAUUGGUGAUGGCCUUGCUCGGGUGGCACCGGGUUGUGUCCCUGCUGUUUCUCUUUGGUUCCUGACUGUUUCUGCAGUCAGGCACUGGACCCAUUUGGACAUGGCAUCCUCACUGCACAUCUGGCACAGUGCUGCUCACCUGCACCCCCCACCCCAACCCCUCCAUCACACCAGUCUCUCCCCAUCCGACACCGCUGGGAUUUGCACCCUAAACCCUCCCAUGCCCCGAUUGCCUCAGUGAGACCUCAGGGGGGAUGGAGCUGGGGCAGCUGCUGCCUGCCCUGGUCUGACGCCGGCUCCUGCCACCCGCUGCACCCCCCCCAGAGCAGCCCUUUCUCUCUAGCACGUCCCUGCUCAGCUUUCGUUUGAUGGACACACUGGAAAAGACGCACUGGUUGAAGCUGAGCCGAACAUACCCCAAGAAUCAACACGUCCCCAAAACCUCCCGUGGCUGCGGAAGAGGUUAAAAUCCCUUCCCUGCCCUGUGACCGGCUUUGGGAAACUCUUUUUUAGGUUUCGAUGAGAAAUGCGGGUUUUGAGGAGAAGUCAAGCUGCAGUGGGAGGAGAACACAGGUGUUAUUGAUAAUGAACAGAAGCUUAACGAGGCCUGUGGUGUUUCUUGUUGUGUCACACUAUUAUCCUAUAGUGGUGCUACGUUACACCAGGUGCCUGUCACCAGCGG